rnacentral:rRNA from 1 species
CGGUGGAGUAUGUGGUUUAAUUCGAUGCAACGCGAAGAACUUACCUGGUCUUGACAUCCCGGAGACCCUUAGGAAACUAGGGGGUGCUUCCAUCUGGAAGAAUCUGGAGACAGGUGCUGCAUGGCUGUCGUCAGCUCGUGUCGUGAGAUGUUCGGGUUAAGUCCCGCAACGAGCGCAACCCUUGCCUUUAGUUGCCAGCAGUUCGGCUGGGCACUCUAAAGGGACUGCCGGUGUUAAACCGGAGGAAGGUGGGGAUGACGUCAAGUCCUCAUGGCCUUUAUGACCAGGACUACACACGUACUACAAUGGCCGAUACAAAGGGCAGCGACACUGCGAGGUGAAGCCAAUCCCGUAAAAUCGGUCUCAGUCCGGAUUGGAGUCUGCAACUCGACUCCAUGAAGUUGGAAUCGCUAGUAAUCGUGGAUCAGCAUGCCACGGUGAAUACGUUCCCGGGCCUU